rnacentral:lncRNA from 1 species
AAAUAAUUUAAGCCUAAAUCUGGAAUCAGGUACCUUCUUUCCAGACAGAUUUUCUUACAUGGUACUUGUUAAUUAGUAAUAAGAACUGACUUAAUUUACUUGAAACCACCUUUGAACGUUAAGUUGGGAUGUGGGUAUUCGUUUGAGCUAUGGUUCUUGGCAUACAGGGCUAAUGGUUUUACCCCCCUCCCUGCCUUCCCCGUGAUCUUCCCAGAUUGCCACCGAGGAGCCACUGAACCCCAUUAAGCAAGACACCAAGAACGGGAGGCUGCGCUACACCCCGAACAUCUUCCCCCACAAGGGCUACAUAUGGAAUUACGGGGCCCUCCCUCAGACCUGGGAAGAUCCUCAUCUAAAAGACAAGAGUACAAACUGCUGUGGAGACAACGACCCCAUUGACGUUUGUGAAAUAGGCUCCAAG